UACGUAGGAUGCAAGCGUUGUCCGGAAUUAUUGGGCGUAAAGAGCGAGCAGGCGGUUUGGAAAGUUGGACGUGAAAUUUUAGGGCUUAACCCUAAAGGGUCGUCCAAAACUCCCAGACUAGAGUGCAGGAGAGGAAAGCGGAAUUCCCGGUGUAGUGGUGAAAUGCGUAGAUAUCGGGAGGAACACCAGAGGCGAAGGCGGCUUUCUGGCCUGUAACUGACGCUGAGGCGCGGAAGGCUGGGGUAGCCGAACGAGG
rnacentral:rRNA from 1 species